rnacentral:rRNA from 1 species
GAUGAACGCUGGCGGCGUGCCUAAUACAUGCAAGUCGAGCGAACAGACGAGGAGCUUGCUCCUCUGAUGUUAGCGGCGGACGGGUGAGUAACACGUGGAUAACCUACCUAUAAGACUGGGAUAAUUUCGGGAAACCGGAGCUAAUACCGGAUAACAUGUCGAACCGCAUGGUUCAACAGUGAAAGACGGUCUUGCUGUCACUUAUAGAUGGAUCCGCGCCGCAUUAGCUAGUUGGUAAGGUAACGGCUUACCAAGGCGACGAUGCGUAGCCGACCUGAGAGGGUGAUCAGCCACACUGGAACUGAGACACGGUCCAGACUCCUACGGGAGGCAGCAGUAGGGAAUCUUCCGCAAUGGGCGAAAGCCUGACGGAGCAACGCCGCGUGAGUGAAGAAGGUCUUCGGAUCGUAAAACUCUGUUAUUAGGGAAGAACAAAUGUGUAAGUAACUAUGCACGUCUUGACGGUACCUAAUCAGAAAGCCACGGCUAACUACGUG